CCUACGGGUGACAGCAGUGGGGGAUAUUGCACAAUGGGCGAAACCCUGAUGCAGCGACGCCGCGUGUGGGAAGACGGUCCUCUGGAUUGUAAACCACUGUCCUCAGGGACGAAGAUGACGGUACUUGGGGAGGAAGCUCCGGCUAACUACGUGCAAGCAGCCGCGGUAAUACGGAGGGAGCGAGCGUUGUCCGGAAUUACUGGGUGUAAAGGGAGCGUAGGCGGGGAGUCAAGUUGGGGGUAAAAACUACGGGCUCAACUGGGAGUCGCACUCGAAACUGGAGCUCUUGAGUGGAGGAGAGGCAGGCGGAAUGCGUGGUGUAGCGGUGAAAUGCGUAGAUAUUAGGAAGAACACCAGUGGCGAAGGCAGCCUACUGGGGUUUUACUGACGCUGAGGCACGAAAGUGUGGGGAGCGAACAGGAUUAGAUACCCUAGUAGUC
rnacentral:rRNA from 1 species